GAACGUUCUCGUAUUUAUAUUCUCUAACAUCAUUGAAUUGGAGAUCCAUCCCCAAUACUGUAGUGAAAAGGUACUUAUUAUAGUAGCAAAUUGCCUUGCCAGGUUGAAAGAAUAAACGGCCUUUUCUGUCAGAUUGUUUUUUUAGUUUAUUUUUCAUACCAGCUCCUCUCCAUAAGGACUCUUGAUUUACCAAAAGGCAUUGUUAUUAAGGCCAUGAUCUUCUCUAUCUGCACAUCCUCUCUGAGAUCAAGUUUCCUUGCAUUUCAGUAAAUUCUGUAUGCUAAUGACACGCUAAUCUCAUUUCCC